ACGCUCGACACCUACGGGGAGGCAGCAGGUGGGGAAUAUUGCACAAUGGGGGAAACCCUGAUGCAGCGACGCCGCGUGGAGGAAGAAGGUCUUCGGAUUGUAAACUCCUGUUGUUGGGGAAAAAGAGGAUGGUACCCAACAAGGAAGUGACGGCUAACUACGUGCUAGCAGCCGCGGUAAUCUGAGCGGGCUGGCAAGGC
rnacentral:rRNA from 1 species